rnacentral:rRNA from 1 species
CAGUAACGGCGAGUGAAGCGGCAACAGCUCAAAUUUGAAAUCUGGCUCCUUCGGGGUCCGAAUUGUAAUUUGUAGAGAGUGCUUCGGGCGAGACCUCGGUCUAAGUCCAUUGGAACAUGGUGUCAUAGAGGGUGAGAAUCCCGUAUGCGACCGUGGCUCGAGCCCAUGUGAAGCCUCUUCGACGAGUCGAGUUGUUUGGGAAUGCAGCUCAAAAUGGGUGGUAAAUUUCAUCUAAAGCUAAAUACUGGCUGGAGACCGAUAGCGCACAAGUAGAGUGAUCGAAAGAUGAAAAGCACUUUGGAAAGAGAGUCAAACAGUACGUGAAACUGUUGAAAGGGAAGCGCUUGCAACCAGACCUGCCCGUAGGCGAUCAGCCGCUGUUCUCAGCGGUGUAUUCGCUCUGCGAUCAGGCCAGCAUCGGUUUCGGCGGUCGGAUAAAGACCUUGGGAAUGUAGCUUCCCUUCGGGGAAGUCUUAUAGCCCUCGGUGUAAUGCGGCCAGCCGGGACCGAGGACCGCGCUUCGGCUAGGAUGCUGGCGUAAUGGUUGUAAGCGACCCGUCUUGAAACACGGACCAAGGAGUCUAACAUCUAUGCGAGUGUUUGGGUGUCAAACCCAUACGCGGAAUGAAAGUGAACGGAGGUGAGAACCCUUAAGGGCGCAUCAUCGACCGAUCCAGAUGUCUUCGGAUGGAUUUGAGUAUGAGCAUAGCUGUUGGGACCCGAAAGAUGGUGAACUAUGCCUGAAUAGGGUGAAGCCAGAGGAAACUCUGGUGGAGGCUCGCAGCGGUUCUGACGUGCAAAUCGAUCGUCAAAUUUGGGUAUAGGGGCGAAAGACUAAUC